CAAGGCGACAUGCCAACGCCAAUCCGUGACCGCACUCGUCUUCCGUCACUUACUGUAGCCUUCCCUCCCUACGUCUAUAAAUACCCCGGUGGGAGCGAGGUCAUGCGUCGCUUCGGCGCUUGGGCGCGGCUUUGAGUGAAGCUGGGAAGAGGGAAGUCCUGCGCGAGCGAGAGCUCAAAGGGGAAGAAUUAAAAGAAAUUCUCCCUUCCGUCCGGCAGAGAUGACGGACGGCCAUCUCUUCAACAACAUCCUCCUCGGAGGCCGCGGCGGAACUAAUCCAGGGCAGUUGAAGGUGCACGCAGGAGGGAUUGCAUGGAGGAAGCAAGGUGGUGGAAAAAUCAUCGAAAUAGACAAAGCAGAUAUUACUUCUCUGACCUGGAUGAAAGUUCCUAGGGCAUAUCAGCUUGGAGUGAGGAUCAAGGAUGGCUUGUUUUACAAGUUCAUCGGUUUUCGUGAACAGGAUGUCACUAACUUGACAAAUUUUAUUCAAAAAUCUAUUGGAAUAACACCAGAAGAGAAGCAGCUUUCCGUCAGUGGCCAUAAUUGGGGAGGUGUUGAUAUCAAUGGAAACAUGCUUACAUUCUUGGUAGGUUCAAAGCAAGCAUUUGAGGUUUCACUGGCAGAUGUUGCCCAAACCCAACAGCAAGGAAAAACAGAUGUUUACUUGGAGUUCCAUGUCGAUGACACUACUGGGGCUAAUGAGAAAGAUUCGUUGAUGGAUUUAAGUUUUCAUGUACCUACUUCCAAUACUCAGUUUGUUGGUGAUGAAAAUCGUCCUCCAGCCCAGGUUUUACUAGAAAAAAUCUUGUCAUUGGCGGAUAUUGGUUCAUCAGAAGAAGCCGUUGUCACAUUUGAAGGAAUUGCAAUUCUUACACCUAGAGGAAGGUAUGGUGUUGAGCUUCACCUUUCAUUCUUACGGCUUCAAGGACAGGCAACUGAUUUUAAGAUUCAAUAUAGCAGUGUUGUUCGACUUUUCCUGUUGCCAAAGUCCAAUCAAACUCAUACUUUUGUUAUAAUCACACUUGACCCACCAAUUCGCAAAGGACAAACUUUAUACCCGCAUAUUGUUAUUCAGUUUGAAGCAGAAGCUAUAGUUGAAAGGCACCUGUCCCUAAGCGAGGAGCUCCUAGCUACAAAAUACAAGGACAAACUGGAUGCAGCGUAUAAGGGUCUAACUAGUGAAGUCUUCACUAAGGUUUUGCGUGGUUUGUCUGGUGCCAAAGUGACAAGAGUAGGUUCAUUCCGUAGUUGUCAAGGUGGAUAUGCAGUCAAAUCAUCAUUGAAAGCUGAAGAUGGAUUGUUAUAUCCUCUUGAGAAAGGAUUUUUCUUUCUACCAAAACCUCCUACUCUCAUUCUUCAUGAUGAGAUCGAGUAUGUUGAAUUUGAAAGGCAUGGUGCUGGAGGUUCAAGUGUGUCAUCUCACUAUUUUGACCUCCUUGUAAAGCUAAAAAAUGAUCAAGAACACCUGUUCAGAAAUAUCCAGAGGAGUGAAUAUCAUAGCCUUUUUGACUUCAUUAGUGGAAAGGGUUUGAAGAUUAUGAACCUUGGAGAUGCGCAAGGCACGAACGGUGUUUCAGCUGUUCUUCAGAAUUCUGAUGAUGAUGCUGUUGAUCCACAUCUAGAGCGAAUAAAGAAUGAGGCUGGUGGCGAGGAAAGUGAUGAAGAGGAUGAGGAUUUUGUUGCUGAAGAGGAUGAUGGUGGGUCUCCUACUGAUGAUUCUGAAGAAGAGGAGUCUGACGCGAGGGAAAGUGGAGAUGAGAAAGAAAAAUCUGCUGCAAAGGAUUUGAAAAAGGAAGCUGUUGGUACUAAGGCAUCAUCUACUAAGAGGAAAUCUAAGGAUGGGGAUGAAGAAGGCUCGAAGAAGAGAAGGCAGAAGAAGAAAAAGGAUCCUAAUGCACCAAAAAGGGCGAUGUCAGGGUUUAUGUUUUUUUCAAAUGCUGAAAGAGAGAAUAUUAAGAAAAGCAAUCCUGGGAUGUCAUUUACCGACGUUGGGAGGGCUCUUGGGGAAAGGUGGAAAAAGAUGUCAGCUGAGGAGAAGGAGCCUUUCGAAGCAAUGGCACGGGCGGAUUCUAAGCGUUACAAGGAGGCCAUGGCUGGCUACAAGAGCGGCGGCCCUACAAUAAACGUAGAUUCAGGUAACGAGUCUGAGUGAGAGGUCGUUGCCUCUUAGCAUGGCCCGACUACCAGCGGUGCUGAGGCAAUGUUUGCUUAGGCCUCGUACUUGAACUAGGCAACUUUGUUUCGACCUCAACAGACAUUACUGAAAGGGAAGCUGCAAACGGUAUUCACUUGAGCUUCUGUUACAUUACAGCGGGCAUUAUUAACUUGGAUGGUUCUGUCAGCUAUUUUACUUGAACAAAACUGUAGAACAAGAAAUGGGGAUCAUGCGACCGCUCUGAUCAUUCUGCGGAAGUAGACCGGAACGGCACGGUGUGAGCUCCCCUUCAGGUCUUUUAGACGUGUCACAUUGGUGCGAGAUCACACAUGGGCUUGCAGGGGCCUCCCUUAGGUAAUGGGCUUGGGCUUCAUUGGAGGAUCGUGCCUGGUGGAUGAUGCGGUCUCGUUACUUUGGGCCUCCAACCCCGCCGCCGAGUCCCUUGUCUCAAGCCCACGUCGUCUACAAUCACCAAAACUUGAGGAUGAGGUGAAUCACGAACGUGUACCACUUCGAGCCCCCACCCUAUUAUAAAAAUUGCUUAUAAUGUCAAAAUAAUAUUUUUCAUCUAUUGUUAUUAUUUUUUUAAUAAAAAUUCAAUUGAUGAAAUAUGAAAUAUUUCA